rnacentral:rRNA from 1 species
UACGAAGGGGACUAGCGUUGUUCGGAAUCACUGGGCGUAAAGCGCACGUAGGCGGAUUCGUAAGUUAGGGGUGAAAUCCCGGGGCUCAACCUCGGAACUGCCUUUGAUACUGCGGGUCUCGAGUCCGAUAGAGGUGGGUGGAAUUCCUAGUGUAGAGGUGAAAUCCGUAGAUAUUAGGAAGAACACCGGUGGCGAAGGCGGCCCACUGGAUCGGCACUGACGCUGAGGUGCGAAAGCGUGGGGAGCAAACAGG